rnacentral:rRNA from 1 species
UACGUAGGGGGCAAGCGUUAUCCGGAUUUACUGGGUGUAAAGGGCGUGUAGCCGGGUUGACAAGUCAGAUGUGAAAUCCUGCGGCUUAACCGCAGAACUGCAUUUGAAACUGCUGGUCUUGAGUGAUGGAGAGGCAGGCGGAAUUCCGUGUGUAGCGGUGAAAUGCGUAGAUAUACGGAGGAACACCAGUGGCGAAGGCGGCCUGCUGGACAUUAACUGACGCUGAGGAGCGAAAGCGUGGGGAGCAAACAGG